UGUAAAUCAAAUGUGUACACCUG
rnacentral:miRNA from 1 species